UUUUUUUUAAGUUUUUUCGUUCGAACAACUUGUCCCAAUUGUAGAAUAACUUUGAUAGUUGUUCGAUAACUUUACGAAAUUGUUCAACAACUACGCAAGUUGUUCAACAACUAGGCACAGUUGUCCUACAACUGCACCUAGUUGUUCAACAACUGAAAGAAAUUGUUCAACAACUGCGGGAAGUUAUUCAAACAAAUAACGUAAUUAUUUCACAAUUAUCCAAUUAGUCAAGGGACUUAAUUUUUUUUAAGAACAAAUUUGUGAGACCCAUUUAUCCUUCUAGCCUAUUUUUCUCUUUUAAACUCCUCUUCUCCAACAAACAACGACAGCAACAAACAACUCGACAACAACAAUAUCAACAAGCAGUAACAAUUUAAAGAACGGCAAAACCAAACAACAACAAUUUCAAUACAAAACCUGACCUGAACCCGGUAAACCCAGCAACCCGCAAACCGCACCAACGUACAGCUCCGACCCUCAUCCUCUUUUCAAUUCAAAAUUUCAAUCCGUACAAAUUGUAAGAUUCCAGCUCAUACCCUUAUCUCCUAAGAAGAUUCCUCCCUAAAAUUUCAAAAUUGCCUCCGGAUUUUCCAAUCCCACAUCGACAAUUAGUCAAGAGUUGGGAUUUUUGGGUUCUAUAUAAACCCUUCCCACUCUACUAUUCAAACGGGGUUUUUUUGAAGGAAAAAGAGCUAAAAUUCUCUACUCAGGUAGGAUUCGGACUUCUGUCCCCAACCUGGAGUUGUGAGAAUUUUGAUUCAAGUUUCGUUUUUCUUUGUCGUUUUCAAAUAGGAAGCAAGUUGGUAAGGUUGUUGUCGACUCUUUAUCCCGGUCUGCUGCCCCUAAAAAGGUAAACUUCUCAUCUUGUUUCUUUUUUUUCUCGCGUGAUUAUGUCUCGUCGAAUUUAUGAUAGUUAUUUUUAGUUUUUCUUUUGCUGGUGGGAUUGUUUGCUGUAGAAAGCUUUGAAAGCUAUAGGUUUUGUGUAAUAGAAAUGGUAUAGUUUUCCUUUGUUACUCUUAAUAAUUGCAUCGAAUCAUGGAUUUUGUUGCUAUGGUAGUAUUUAGGUCGUAUUGGUUUCACUACUACUGAAGUUUCAUAAUCGGCCUGGAAAUGUAUUUGAUUCUGAUUAUUUGCUGGCGAUUUGGAUGAAUAUGGUUUGCAAAAUCUCAAUUAAGUGUAUGAUUCACAUCAUUUUUCUGUUCAUGUGUUGGUUUAAAAUCUGAAAUUUCAGAAGUCUUACAAGGCUCUUCAUCUUUAGAAACAAUCGUUCUAUUUUCGUUCAUGCCAUGUUUAAGAGUAUGUGAGCUCUUUUCCUGCUUGUGACUGCCAAUUUUAUUUGUUUUAAUCAAGAUUUGUUCUAAUGGGUAUUCUAUGUGGUUUAUUUCUUCCUCUUUAUUGCUCGUAUGUGCUUAGUUUAGGUUAUUAUUUGUUGUUGAAUACCUCCAAGGUAAUUCAAUGACCCAAUUCAACAUGAUUUUCUAGUUAAUGUUUCCGCCGAAUUAUUGCUAAAUCACUUCGGUUCAUGAUGUGUUGCCUGCUUUAUACUUCCUUGCUAGAUAGUUUAAUGCUUCUAAAAUUGUGUCCUCUUUUAGCCAUAAAAGACAGGUCCAUUUUUGUUUGGCUUUGUUCAUUAAAUUCGUCCAAAAUUAUUAAUCUUCGGCUUUAAAAGAAUGACUUUGCCUCUUCAAAUUAGUUCAAGAUAUCUGUCUUUGCCAUGGGAGUUGUCUUCUUCUUUUAUUUGAAUACGCUUCUAUUUUCAACAUGUAAAAUGAUCUUGUUUGCUUAGUGAUUUAAAUGACCAAAGAUUAGACAUAAUAUCAUAUUGAUUCUGUUAAUUAAAGAUUUUCUUGAAUGUAUAAUUUUUCUUAGAAAUAGAUAUGAGAUGCAUUUCAUUGCUGUUGAUUUUUGUUAGUUUGGAUUCAUGUUAUUUUAUUUGCCAAUUAUUCACUUUAAAAUAGAUACUUAUUCUUAUCUUCUUUUUGUGGCAUGUGACAUUGACCCGAGUCCAUUAGACUCCAUCUCCCCUUUGCAUUUCCGCUGGGCCAUUGAGGCCCAACAUCAUCGAGUCCAAGAUCCCAUGCCAAAAGUCCCCAAACGAGACAGCUUUGCGACAAUAUAUGGCGGAUGUACAGAUUUCAUAGGGCAAAAGCAGUUGAUAUACGGCAAUAGACAGUAGUAAAUGAAGGCAAGGGAGUGAAGUAUCGAUUUUAUACGCUGAUAUACAGUUUGUAUACAGAAAAACUGCCAAUGAAGUCUAGUAUAUGUGAAGUAUACAACUGAUAUACAGCUGGUAUACAUCUGAAAAGGGGCUAAAAAAGGGUCCAUUAAAAUAGGUCCAACGGUUGUCCAGAUUUAAAGUGGGCUAGAAAGGGGCCAUUUGCUUGUAGUUAAUUUAAUUAUUUAUUUAUAAUUUAAUUUAAUCCAGAUGAAUCCUCGGGAAGCAAAUUAUAUUGAAAUUAUUCAUUUAUGUUGAUUAUUUAAUAUUUUUAAUCUUUAAUUUUUAAUUCUUUUAUUUUAGAAAAACUUUAGUUCGAGGAAUAACUUGAGGAUCUGCUUAUAUCCUUUCAUAGUUAUUAUCGAUUCUAAAUUCAUGUUUUUAAGAAGUUGGGUUAAUUCUUUAGCGUAAAUUGGAUAAAUUUAUUAAAGUUAGAAUUAUUUUGAAACUUUUGAUAUUUAGUUCAUUUUAUCACUUCGAAUAAAUUAAAUGGAUUAGUAUCAAAUAAACUCUAUUAUUUUGAAAUAAGGUUUUUUAAAUAAAUUCAAGAUUUUUAAUAAGAUUUUUUCAAAUAAUCUAAGAAUUUUUUUUUAAAUUAGCCAAAUAAGUUUAAUUUGUCGAGAAUCACACUUUGUGGAUUUUUGAAAGUGCU
rnacentral:lncRNA from 1 species